CCUACGGGAGGCAGCAGUGGGGAAUAUUGGGCAAUGGGCGCAAGCCUGACCCAGCAACGCCGCGUGAAGGAAGAAGGCGUUCGGGUUGUAAACUUCUUUUAAGAGGGAAGAGCAGAAGACGGUACCUCUUGAAUAAGCCACGGCUAACUACGUGCCAGCAGCCGCGGUAAUACGUAGGUGGGAAGCGUUGUCCGGAUUUACUGGGUGUAAAGGGCGUGCAGCCGGGAAGACAAGUCAGAUGUGAAAUCCCGGGGCUCAACCGCGGAACUGCAGUUGAAACUGUUUUUCUUGAGUACCGGAGAGGUCAUCGGAAUUCCUUGUGUAGCGGUGAAAUGCGUAGAUAUAAGGAAGAACACCAGUGGCGAAGGCGGAUGACUGGACGGCAACUGACGGUGAGGCGCGAAAGCGUGGGGAGCAAACAGGAUUAGAUACCCGUGUAGUC
rnacentral:rRNA from 1 species